rnacentral:rRNA from 1 species
GACGAACGCUGGCGGCGUGCCUAAUACAUGCAAGUAGAACGCACAGUUUAUACCGUAGCUUGCUACACCAUAGACUGUGAGUUGCGAACGGGUGAGUAACGCGUAGGUAACCUGCCUGGUAGCGGGGGAUAACUAUUGGAAACGAUAGCUAAUACCGCAUAAUAUUAAUUAUUGCAUGAUAAUUAAUUGAAAGGUGCAAUUGCACCACUACCAGAUGGACCUGCGUUGUAUUAGCUAGUAGGGGAGGUAACGGCUCACCUAGGCGACGAUACAUAGCCGACCUGAGAGGGUGAUCGGCCACACUGGGACUGAGACACGGCCCAGACUCCUACGGGAGGCAGCAGUAGGGAAUCUUCGGCAAUGGACGAAAGUCUGACCGAGCAACGCCGCGUGAGUGAAGAAGGGUUUCGGAUCGUAAAGCUCUGUUGUAAGAGAAGAACGGGUGUGAGAGUGGAAAGUUCACACUGUGACGGUAUCUUACCAGAAAGGGACGGCUAACUACGUG